AUUGAACGCUGGCGGCAUGCCUUACACAUGCAAGUCGAACGGUAACAGGUCUUCGGAUGCUGACGAGUGGCGAACGGGUGAGUAAUACAUCGGAACGUGCCUAGUAGUGGGGGAUAACUACUCGAAAGAGUGGCUAAUACCGCAUGAGAUCUACGGAUGAAAGCAGGGGAUCGCAAGACCUUGUGCUACUAGAGCGGCCGAUGGCAGAUUAGGUAGUUGGUGGGAUAAAAGCUUACCAAGCCGACGAUCUGUAGCUGGUCUGAGAGGACGAUCAGCCACAGUGGGACUGAGACACGGCCCAGACUCCUACGGGAGGCAGCAGUGGGGAAUUUUGGACAAUGGGCGAAAGCCUGAUCCAGCAAUGCCGCGUGCAGGAUGAAGGCCUUCGGGUUGUAAACUGCUUUUGUACGGAGCGAAAAGCCCCGGGUUAAUACCCUGGGGUCAUGACGGUGCCGUAAGAAUAAGCACCGGCUAACUACGUGCCAGCCGCCGCAGUAA
rnacentral:rRNA from 1 species